UACGUAGGGUGCAAGCGUUAAUCGGAAUUACUGGGCGUAAAGCGUGCGCAGGCGGUUAUGCAAGACAGAUGUGAAAUCCCCGGGCUCAACCUGGGAACUGCAUUUGUGACUGCAUAGCUGGAGUGCGGCAGAGGGGGAUGGAAUUCCGCGUGUAGCAGUGAAAUGCGUAGAUAUGCGGAGGAACACCGAUGGCGAAGGCAAUCCCCUGGGCCUGCACUGACGCUCAUGCACGAAAGCGUGGGGAGCGAUCCGG
rnacentral:rRNA from 1 species